rnacentral:rRNA from 1 species
CCUACGGGAGGCAGCAGUGAGGAAUAUUGGUCAAUGGACGAGAGUCUGAACCAGCCAAGUAGCGUGAAGGAUGACUGCCCUAUGGGUUGUAAACUUCUUUUAUAUGGGAAUAAAAUGUUCCACGUGUGGGAUUUUGUAUGUACCAUAUGAAUAAGGAUCGGCUAAUUCCGUGCCAGCAGCCGCGGUAAUACGGAGGAUCCGAGCGUUAUCCGGAUUUAUUGGGUUUAAAGGGAGCGUAGGAGGAUUGUUAAGUCAGUUGUGAAAGUUUGCGGCUCAACCGUAAAAUUGCAGUUGAAACUGGCAGUCUUGAGUACGGUAAAGGUAGGCGGAAUUCGUGGUGUAGCGGUGAAAUGCUUAGAUAUCACGAAGAACUCCGAUUGCGAAGGCAGCUCACUGGACUGCAACUGACACUGAGGCUCGAAAGUGCGGGUAUCGAACAGGAUUAGAUACCCCAGUAGUC